GAGGGACGAAGAGCCGUUCGUGCUAGCACGAAAAAGGCUUUAUGUAUUUGCGACCCGCCAAACAUGAGAAUGGAGCGAUUUACGAAGUAAAUCAGCGGAAUUCGAAUGUUUGAAGAAUUGCGAGAGCAGCGAAGCGGCGGAGCAAUUCGUAGGUAU
rnacentral:sRNA from 1 species